rnacentral:lncRNA from 1 species
GUCCCCUGUAAUACAAAACAAAACAAAAAAAAACCCUAAUCUCUGUGGCCCUGAUUUGCUCCUUUCACCUUGGUGGUGAGAAAAAUGUGAGCAGAGGGCAAAGUCGGCCUUUUGCUCCUGCACUUUACUUUCCUGGCCCACUUCCUCUUAGGUGCAUGUGCCUGCAUGACCUGGGCUCUCCUACAAUUUGAUCACCCAAUCUGAUUUCCACUGUUAGUGACUUCAUAAACAAUUGUCCCAGAGACUUUUUUUUUCAUUCUAAGUGGGCUCAUGGAAAGCAGAUA